rnacentral:rRNA from 1 species
GUGUCAGCAGCCGCGGUAAUACGAAGGUCCCAAGCGUUGUUCGGAAUCACUGGGCGUAAAGGGAGCGUAGGCGGCGUGGUAAGUCAGAUGUGAAAUCCCGGGGCUCAACCCCGGAACUGCAUCCGAUACUGCCAUGCUAGAGGAUUGGAGAGGUAGCUGGAAUUCUUGGUGUAGCAGUGAAAUGCGUAGAGAUCAAGAGGAACACUCGUGGCGAAAGCGAGCUACUGGACAAUUCCUGACGCUGAGGCUCGAAGGCUAGGGUAGCGAAAGGGAUUAGAUACCCCUGUAGUCCUAGCAGUAAACGGUGCACGCUUGGUGUGAGGGGAAUCGACCCCCCUUGUGCCGGAGCUAACGCGUUAAGCGUGCCGCCUGGGAAGUACGGUCGCAAGACUAAA